AUUGAACGCUGGCGGCAGGCCUAACACAUGCAAGUCGAGCGAGCGGCGGACGGGUGAGUAAUGUAUGGGGACUGCCCGAUAGAGGGGGAUAACUACUGGAAACGGUGGCUAAUACCGCAUACUAUCGGAUAACCCAUAUGGGAUUAGCUAGUAGGUGGGGUAAAGGCUCACCUAGGCGACGAUCUCUAGCUGGUCUGAGAGGAUGAUGAGCAAAAAGGGAACUGAGACACGGGCCAGACUCCUACGGAGGCAGCAGUGGGGAAUAUGGCACAAUGGGCGCAAGCCGGAUGAAGCAAUGCCGCGUGUAUGAAGAAGGCCUUCGGGUUGUAAAGUACUUUCAGCGAGGAGGCGUUACUCGCAGAAGAAGCACCGGCUAACUCCGUGCCAGCCGCCGCGGUAAUAC
rnacentral:rRNA from 1 species